UUUCCGUCUUUCACGCCGACUUUACGAUCAUGUGUUACACAUGAAUCAGAGCACAUAUGUACGCUGUGCCUUUGAAUAUUCAAGCCGGGGAAGCUGUACCAGGAAAGAAGAGCUACUGUAUAUCGGCGCAGUGUGUACUCACGCGUGAUUAGUAUACCACCCCGUCAUCGCCAGGGAUCGGGGCCACAAUGGCGUGCUGCGGGAAUGUGUGGCAGCGUCCCUACAACUCACACAGAAACCUGGAGCGGCGAUUCUAACAAGGCGGAACGGCGUCAAGAGGUGACGCACCCUGUAGAACAGCCACAGGAGCAGUGAGUGGAGAAGGCGGGACAUCCGGCAUUGUGUUGCGUGUAUGAACGUGUUUCCAGAACCAGAAUGCUCUCCGCCCCCAGCAUGCGUACUAACAGAAGCCUUCUUUUACCGCUGCAGGCUCCACUGUGACAAAGUCGACACCCUUGCCUCGACACUCCCGUCGAAAGGCAUCCAUCAUGGAGAUGACGGCGCUCUUCGUCAUGCAGUACGGCGCUACCAUGGGCAGUAUGAGGCGGCCUGGAAAAGAGCGAACGGGAGUGGAAGCGGCAAGCCUGGUAACGGGACUGGCUACAGUGACGACUCUGCCUUGACUCUUCCUCAGGAGUGGCAGGAAUCGUUUGAUUACACGAAGGACACCGAAGACGUUGACGUCAAACAUUUUGGUUACUGUUUCCAGUGUCGUCCACUCUAGAA